UGACAAUAUUUCUUAAGAGAAGGCAUGAUUCUCGGUAUUUGUUGGUGCUGCAUUGCAUUCUGUUGGCUUCGAUUUGUCCUCCGUUCUAUUUCCUUACCUUUGUCUAUUUGCUAGCUUAUGAUAUCGAAGUUUCGUUGCGUCCACUUAACUUUCUACGGCUCUACUGAUAUGAACAGACGGCACGUAAUUCUUGCUGAUGAGAUGGGUCUUGGCAUCUCCGUUUGAAGAAAAUCCAUACCCAUUCUUAGUUGUAGCUCCACUUUCUACCUUGCGGUGACUACGAAUUUCGCUUUCCCAAAAGCAAGCAAGAAGCUCAAGAAAAUAAAUCUGGCCAGCUGGUUAUUGCAACCAAACAAGAUAGCACAAAGCUCGAUAUCCCCUUAAUAUCAUAUGAGAUGAUUAAUCUGGACGCGGCAUCAUUGAAGCCGGUACAGUGGGGAUGCACGUUCUGCACUACGGGUCCUGUUUACUGGUUUUUCAUGCGAGGGUCUAUUUGAAGUGCCGGAAGAACGAAUACUUCUCAUGCUCUAUGGGAUCAACAAUUGCCGGAGAAAUUGGUGCAUAUGGCUAUACACCCUUCCGUACAAAUGGAUACGCUUGCUGGUAAGAGAGCUGAAGUUGCUAGAAGCCUAUAUGAGGUCUUUUUCUGGGGAUUGCUCUCCUUCGGGCC